GAGUUUGAUCCUGGCUCAGGAUGAACGCUGGCGGCGUGCCUAACACAUGCAAGUCGAGCGAUCUUCUUCGGAAGAGAGCGGCGGACGGGUGAGUAACGCGUGGGUAACCUGCCCUGUACACACGGAUAACAUACCGAAAGGUAUGCUAAUACGGGAUGACAUAUGAAAGUCGCAUGGCUUUUAUAUCAAAGCUCCGGCGGUACAGGAUGGACCUGCGUCUGAUUAGCUAGUUGGUAAGGUAACGGCUUACCAAGGCGACGAUCAGUAGCCGACCUGAGAGGGUGAUCGGCCACACUGGAACUGAGACACGGUCCAGACUCCUACGGGAGGCAGCAGUGGGGAAUAUUGCACAAUGGGCGAAAGCCUGAUGCAGCAACGCCGCGUGAGCGAUGAAGGCCUUCGGGUCGUAAAGCUCUGUCCUCAAGGAAGAUAAUGACGGUACUUGAGGAGGAAGCCCCGGCUAACUACGUG
rnacentral:rRNA from 1 species